AUCAAAAUCUGCAUCUUACCUAAAGUCUAAGAAGUGAACUUGAUUACCUUUCAGAAUGACCUGAUACAUUUGAAAAUCUGGAAUACCUGGCUUCUAUUCCCAAACCCCUUUCAACAUGUUUGGAGUCCAGUGAACUGUGCAUUUUCAGAAAAUUUCCUUACGAAUAGCCAAGCUCAGGAACUGUCCAUCUUGUUCAUUUUCUCUGUUCUGACUCUGUAUAUUCAAGAUUAUAAGCCAACAUGAAAAUAAGGGUCAACUGAAUUAUCCCUACACUAUCAGUAAUGUUUCCACCCAGCAUCUACUAUCAACAAAAAACCCCUAUGCAGUAUAAAUUUCCAGAACACCUGCAGAGGAUAAUAGGACUCCUGCUGCCGAUGGAGGAGGUGGAGCUGGAGAAAUGAGAGGAAGAGGAACAACCCCGGGUUUAAGGAGCAGAGCUGUCACAGAAAAGAAGGGACUACAAACACGGCCUUGAAGAAAAAGAUGGCUGUGUGGCUGAUGAUGUGCCCUGAGGCCCGGCUGUAGGCAGCCGGGCACACUGGACCCCGCGGCAGGCGGGGCUGGACUCUGUGCCCACAGCCGGUAAACAGCCUUAAGCCAGCAGUGGCAGUGAGCCGGACAUGUGGGGUAAAAAUAACAGCUCCCUAUCGGGGCCCAGUCUGCCAGACCCUGGUGAAGUUCGUUUCUUUCAAUAAAUCCAGCAGCUUCCCCUUUGAUAAAUGCUGCCAAGGCUGGAA
rnacentral:lncRNA from 1 species